UUCCAGCUGACGAGUCCCAAAUAGGACGAAACGUGCGUCCUGGAU
rnacentral:hammerhead_ribozyme from 1 species